GGGGUCUCCGGAGCUUCCUUAAAUACUUUAAGUCAUUACAAAAAAGUAUUAAAGUAGUAAAGUAUUUAAGGAAGCUCCGGAGACCCC